UUUGCAAGUCGUCACGCGUUGGCCCAAUUGAUUGAUGGUGCUUGCACCUGAUUGAUUUUGGUCGCCAACGAGUGGCGGACGGGUGAGUAACACGUAGGUAACCUGCCCAGAAGCGGGGGACAACAUUUGGAAACAGAUGCUAAUACCGCAUAACAGCGUUGUUCGCAUGAACAACGCUUAAAAGAUGGCUUCUCGCUAUCACUUCUGGAUGGACCUGCGGUGCAUUAGCUUGUUGGUGGGGUAACGGCCUACCAAGGCGAUGAUGCAUAGCCGAGUUGAGAGACUGAUCGGCCACAAUGGGACUGAGACACGGCCCAUACUCCUACGGGAGGCAGCAGUAGGGAAUCUUCCACAAUGGGCGCAAGCCUGAUGGAGCAACACCGCGUGAGUGAAGAAGGGUUUCGGCUCGUAAAGCUCUGUUGUUAAAGAAGAACACGUAUGAGAGUAACUGUUCAUACGUUGACGGUAUUUAACCAGAAAGUCACGGCUAACUACGUGCCAGCAGCCGCGGUAAUACGUAGGUGGCAAGCGUUAUCCGGAUUUAUUGGGCGUAAAGAGAGUGCAGGCGGUUUUCUAAGUCUGAUGUGAAAGCCUUUCGGCUUAACCGGAGAAGUGCAUCGGAAACUGGAUAACUUGAGUGCAGAAGAGGGUAGUGGAACUCCAUGUGUAGCGGUGGAAUGCGUAGAUAUAUGGAAGAACACCAGUGGCGAAGGCGGCUACCUGGUCUGCAACUGACGCUGAGACUCGAAAGCAUGGGUAGCGAACAGGAUUAGAUACCCUGGUAGUCCAUGCCGUAAACGAUGAGUGCUAGGUGUUGGAGGGUUUCCGCCCUUCAGUGCCGGAGCUAACGCAUUAAGCACUCCGCCUGGGGAGUACGACCGCAAGGUUGAAACUCAAAGGAAUUGACGGGGGCCCGCACAAGCGGUGGAGCAUGUGGUUUAAUUCGAAGCUACGCGAAGAACCUUACCAGGUCUUGACAUCUUGCGCCAACCCUAGAGAUAGGGCGUUUCCUUCGGGAACGCAAUGACAGGUGGUGCAUGGUCGUCGUCAGCUCGUGUCGUGAGAUGUUGGGUUAAGUCCCGCAACGAGCGCAACCCUUGUUACUAGUUGCCAGCAUUAAGUUGGGCACUCUAGUGAGACUGCCGGUGACAAACCGGAGGAAGGUGGGGACGACGUCAGAUCAUCAUGCCCCUUAUGACCUGGGCUACACACGUGCUACAAUGGACGGUACAACGAGUCGCGAACUCGCGAGGGCAAGCAAAUCUCUUAAAACCGUUCUCAGUUCGGACUGCAGGCUGCAACUCGCCUGCACGAAGUCGGAAUCGCUAGUAAUCGCGGAUCAGCAUGCCGCGGUGAAUACGUUCCCGGGCCUUGUACACACCGCCCGUCACACCAUGAGAGUUUGUAACACCCAAAGUCGGUGGGGUAACCUUUUAGGAGCCAGCCGCCUAAGGUGGA
rnacentral:rRNA from 2 species